UACAGAGGGGGCAAGCGUUAUUCGGAAUUAUUGGGCGUAAAGGGCGCGUAGGCGGCUUUGCAAGUGGCGGGUGAAAGCCCUCGGCUUAACCGAGGAACUGCCUGUGAGACUGUGAGGCUUGAGACCGGGAGAGGUGAGUGGAAUUCCCAGUGUAGCGGUGAAAUGCGUAGAUAUUGGGAGGAACACCGGUGGCGAAGGCGGGUCUCUGGGCCGAUACUGACGCUGAGGAGCGAAAGCGUGGGGAGCAAACAGG
rnacentral:rRNA from 1 species